UGGAAAAGAGGGUGGUUGAACAAGCUUCUGUUGAAUGGAAAUGCAAAGCUGCGAUACACUAACUUGGAACAUACUUCUUUGCUGAGACUGCACGCUACCUUUGAAUGGGAACUUAAAAACAUUUGAAUCUAACAACGGAAGCACAUGCCUGAGCACUUCGCUGGAUGGAGCAAUGGAAAACUGCCACUUAGCACCACAAAGUAUACAUGGAGUCCACGCUGUUCAGAGAAGACCAGUUUAUGUUCAAGAGCAUUUCAUGAAGCUCUGGCAUCAGUAAGAGGCUGUUUUGAUCCAGCUGCCCACUCCAAAAGCACGAACAGAAGAUUCAAAGGAAGGACCUAAACUGCAAAGUGGUUUCCUGUAGUAGAAAGAGCUGAAUCAGCCCCCCAAAACUGAAGAGUGUGCGUGUCCCGAGCUUGGGACGCAUUUCAGAACCACAAGGUUCUGAAUUAUAUUUCUAAACGCACAUUCAUCCAUCCGUAAGUGCCCACAACUCACAGUGCAAAUCUGGUAGCUUCAAACAGAAACGGCCUUUCCCUCUAAUUUAGAGUUUGCUCUACUAGUGUGACCCUUGAGACUAGACGCUAACCAUCAUACAUACUCCUUACAUUCCCUCCCUGUGAUCAACGAGCAUUAUAAAUAUUUCAACACCGGCAGAGAACUCGUGCACAGAAACCAAAGCUUGUUUCAGGUGACAGAAGGGCUCGUAUCUGAAGCUGGGACUGGAACUCAGGAGUUCUCACGUCUGUGCCAGAAACUCCUUUAAUUCAAUGAAAGCUACAGGUGGCCAGCACUUUUUGAAAGUCGAGAUGAACUUCGCAUUCUUCCUUGGUACUCAUUAAAAGCUACUAGCAUUGUUAGGGUUAAAAUAAUUGACCUAAAGACUCUUGUAAAGGUGUUGCUAUCCAGUCUCCCGUAUUCUUUAACCUCUGAUUUCUGAACACCCAGGCAAAGUGAUGCCACUCCUACUGCUCAACAGCGCAAGCAACUUCUAAACUGAUCUCUGACUCUUCUUCUUCAGAAACCAUUUAGAGAUUGCAAGAAGCUUCUCUUACUUGUCAUCUUAUCUUCUGGUCAACUUGCCGCUGCACCUACUUUAGUAGAAAGUUCCAUACAAUCCUAAGAAUCAAAAGUGAAGCGAGGACAAGACUGACAUCUGCUUUCUGGAAGACUGCCAUUGUGCUAACUACAGCUGUGGGGUCUGCAUGAGAAAGGAACAAAAAUAACCCAAGCAACCAAGGAGCAUGUUGUUGAGAGCGUGUGCCCUAUUGUUUGUGGCUCUGACACCAUGUGAUGGAACAAGGAACGUGGCUACCCUGUUCCAGGAGAGCCUCCCCGUUGAGAGGAACAAGCAUUGUCCAGAAGCAGCAUCUACCGGUACAGCAUGGUCUUCCUCAAAGAAUACAGGGCUGUUCGCUACAGGAGGAACCUCUGAACUGGAAAAAAGUCUCUUACACAGGCUGACCGAUUUCUCUUGGUGUUCAGAGUCUCAGUGUUUGUCUAGCACCAUUUGAAAUCGGUUAUGAUGUAGGGGGAAAAGCAACAGUAAUUGGAAACUUCACUUUUCCCCCCCUGCACAACUCCUAUGCGAUGACCGCAGUGGCUCCAGAAUACUACCAGAAAACUUAUUACCGGUACCUUGCUACAUAAAUACACAGGUAUUUACUCAUGAAAGCCUUUGCGUUCUCUGAACUUAAGUUAGUUGUAUGUGCCUGUUCAAUAUGCCGUGUAAAAUAAAGGGCAUGGAGCAGACAUUUCCCCUUGGAAGGAUGCUUAAGGUAUUUGAAAUGCAUCAUCUAAAAAGAUUUAGCUCCAACUCUUGAAUUUCAGGGAGGUGCGGGGAUGUGCGAGAAAGAACACAUACGUGCGCGUAUGCAGAAGUGCCUCCCUUCCUGACUGUUAGCCAGCAAACAAGCGGCCAUUUGAUUCUGCAAGCUUGCAAACUAUGUAACCUACUUUGAGCUACUGUUUUCAAUAAAAAUUUGUACUACGUCA